rnacentral:lncRNA from 1 species
AAAAAUUAAUGCCACGUCUCCCCCGUUUCAGAAGACUGCUGUUUAAAUGCUGUUUAAAUGGUCCCAAGAGCAACAAUCCUGUCCUACCACAUCCCGGAAUUCAGGUUCUGCUCUUCUUGAACAAGUUACUGAGGAAAAUUUAUCAUCUCUUAUUGCCUUUGAAUGCAAUGCCAAGGCUAUCGCAAACUGGGCACAAGUACAGUCACUGAUCACUUAUACAGCAAACGUCGGCUGCAGCCAACAGCACCUCCCCACCCACUGGACUGCGGCAUGAGGCGUACGGUUCUGCCGUGGUCGCGGACACCUCGGGCCAAGUGCUCUCAAUCUCACCUUGAAUUAUUGACCAAAUCUUAAUGGAGAGACUGCGUUAUAAGGAGCUCUCCUCCUCGUGUUGAUCUCUUGCCUUAUCCGUUGUGAUUGUGCAAGACACCUGCAGGACUUGGCCACAUAAAAAUGAAGGCUAGGGAAGUGCUUGGAAACUUGUUAAGCACAUUUAUCCAUAACUGCGACUUAGCAGUCAUCGUCUUAAGUCUUUUUGCCAAGACUUCCAAAUUUUUCUGUCUUUUGUAUAGCUCCCACCUCUUUCUGACUAUGACUCUUCCCUAAAAUGCCUGUAACUGCAUGGCACAUUGCACUGAAAGCGUUCUUCAAAGCCCUGCCUGCUUGGUUUAGAAAUAUUUGCAUUUAUGUGAAGUUGUGCUGUGCUGUGACUGGCCAGUGCCAAUGAGUCAGAGCCAGGAGCAGGCUUCAAAUCCAGGAGAUUAAUUGCCCCCUUAAGAGAGACCCAGAGCAGGACUUUCAGAUUUGGUGGACAUUUGGGUUCUAGGUUAGGUUUUUCUGCAGUUAAUAACCAGAUCACACAUGCUACACUCAAGGUCCUCCCUAGUCCUUCCAGGUUACAGCACAUUUCUUUAAAAAAAGGCCUUUGGUGAAGUUUGGCCCCUUGUGCACUGGUCAUCUUAAUCCCACUCCAGCCUGGUCCACGGGGACCCUGGGGUUGUGAUGGGACGGUUG